CCUUCUGCCUAUUCAUUUUUGAUAUGUGUGAAAGAGGAGUACAGCUGAAGAACCCCUUCUACAGUAUCUGGGCAUCAGAUGUUGGGACAGAGCUUGCUAUGGCCUUCAUCAUUGUAGCAGGAAUCUGCGCAUGUCUCUACUUCCUGUUCCUGUGCUUCAUGGUGUUCCAAGUGUUCAGAAACAUCAGUGGGAAAAGGUCGUCUUUACCUGCUAUGACAAAGGCUCGUCGACUGCACU